rnacentral:rRNA from 1 species
ACGGGUGAGUAAUGUCUGGGGAUCUGCCCGAUAGAGGGGGAUAACCACUGGAAACGGUGGCUAAUACCGCAUAACGUCGCAAGACCAAAGAGGGGGACCUUCGGGCCUCUCACUAUCGGAUGAACCCAGAUGGGAUUAGCUAGUAGGCGGGGUAACGGCCCACCUAGGCGACGAUCCCUAGCUGGUCUGAGAGGAUGACCAGCCACACUGGAACUGAGACACGGUCCAGACUCCUACGGGAGGCAGCAGUGGGGAAUACUGCACAAUGGGCGCAAGCCUGAUGCAGCCAUGCCGCGUGUAUGAAGAAGGCCUUCGGGUUGUAAAGUACUUUCAGCGGGGAGGAAGGCAACAAGGUUAAUAACCUUGUUGAUUGACGUUACCCGCAGAAGAAGCACCGGCUAACUCCGUGCCAGCAGCCGCGGUAAUACGGAGGGUGCAAGCGUUAAUCGGAAUUACUGGGCGUAAAGCGCACGCAGGCGGUCUGUUAAGUCAGAUGUGAAAUCCCCGGGCUUAACCUGGGAACUGCAUUUGAAACUGGCAGGCUUGAGUCUCGUAGAGGGGGGUAGAAUUCCAGGUGU